rnacentral:tRNA from 1 species
GCCGAAAUAGCUCAGUUGGGAGAGCGUCAGACUGAACAUCUGAAGGUCCCUGGUUCAAUCCGGAGAGUUUGUA